rnacentral:rRNA from 1 species
ACUCCUGCGGGAGGCAGCAGUGGGGAAUAUUGCACAAUGGGCGCAAGCCUGAUGCAGCCAUGCCGCGUGUAUGAAGAAGGCCUUCGGGUUGUAAAGUACUUUCAGCGGGGAGGAAGGCAAUACGGUUAAUAACCGUGUUGAUUGACGUUACCCGCAGAAGAAGCACCGGCUAACUCCGUGCCAGCAGCCGCGGUAAUACGGAGGGUGCAAGCGUUAAUCGGAAUUACUGGGCGGAAAGCGCACGCAGGCGGUCUGUCAAGUCGGAUGUGAAAUCCCCGGGCUCAACCUGGGAACUGCAUUCGAAACUGGCAGGCUUGAGUCUUGUAGAGGGGGGUAGAAUUCCAGGUGUAGCGGUGAAAUGCGUAGAGAUCUGGAGGAAUACCGGUGGCGAAGGCGGCCCCCUGGACAAAGACUGACGCUCAGGUGCGAAAGCGUGGGGAGCAAACAGGAUUAGAAACCCGGGUAGUCCC